ACCAUUUCAAAAAUUGGUUAGAAAUCAAAUCAAGAGAAUUCUCUCAAAAUUCCCUUCAUCCUUUUUAUUUUCUUAGCAUCCAAACACCUUUUUUCUCCUUAAUUUCAAAAGAAAUUCGCUCUUUCUCUUUCCAUUUUCUAUUAACACUUUGCUUCUUUUUGCUCAAAAUUAUCUAAUUUCAUGGUGAUCUUUGAAUUGAAGCCUUUGUUCGUGAGGGAGCAUCCAUGAGCAACGAUAAGGGCAAAUAGAAGGUGGUGUAGGCUCAACAAUCAGCGGCGAAACGCAGUUGAGUUGUAACAAGCUCAUUUUUUACUGGUGUCGGAAAUAGUGGUUUUGGGGCCACAAAACAGUCGAGUAAGUUCAUAAAUAUUAUUAUUUAAUAUUUAUAAGUUAAAUAUGGUAUUAAAAUAAAUUUUUAAUUUACAAUUUAUGCUACUCGAAUGAACAAUUAAGUUCAAGUGGUAAAACCCUAAAGUCAAGUGAUUUUAGAAAAUGAGGUAUCGAGACCUCGUUUCUAUAAACCAAGCCAUAAAUAUUUUUAUAAAUAUUUAUGGAAUGUUAUUAAGGUUGUAUUAAAGUUUCGUUAAGAAAUUUUGAUGUUUAGAUAGUUAAUUAAGCAAAAAGGAUUAAAUCGUGGUAGUUGAAAAAGUCAAUCGCUAUUGGUUUAAAGGUGUUAAUUAAUUAAAGAAACAUAAUUGGAGGACCUUAAUGGAUAAAUUUCCCAUUCUUAUGAUGGUGGACGGUGUAAGCUUUAAAUUCUUUAAUUUUAUAUGUUUAUAUGUUAUUUUUUAUUAUUAAAAUAAAGUAAAAAGGUAAAUAAAAAUAACAAAGCAUAAUUCUUCUUCAAUUGCUUCGUUCAUCACCGAAACACCAUGGCAAGAAGAACCAAGGUUCGACCAUGCUUCAACUUAUGCAUGGCCCAUUUCACAGCUCGUGUGAGCUAUGAUGUAAAGGAAAGGAAAUGUUACAGUUAUAUGUUAGCACACUUCGUGUGAGCUAUCCCGCGUAUCCAAUGAUAUUCUAAACGGUUCAAUGGGCAUGAAAAGGAAAGGAAUGGUAAGUGUUCAAAAUGAACCAUAUCAUGUAUUUAUGAAAAGGGUUGAAAUGAUAAGUUUCAUUAAAAGUAUGAUAUGUUAAGGAAAAA